GGGCAGCAGUGGGGAAUUUUGGACAAUGGGCGCAAGCCUGAUCCAGCAAUGCCGCGUGAGUGAAGAAGGCCUUCGGGUUGUAAAGCUCUUUUGUCAGGGAAGAAACGGUAGGGGCUAAUAUCCCUUGCUAAUGACGGUACCUGAAGAAUAAGCACCGGCUAACUACGUGCCAGCAGCCGCGGUAAUACGUAGGGUGCAAGCGUUAAUCGGAAUUACUGGGCGUAAAGCGUGCGCAGGCGGUUUUGUAAGUCUGACGUGAAAUCCCCGGGCUCAACCUGGGAAUUGCGUUGGAGACUGCAAGGCUGGAGUCUGGCAGAGGGGGGUAGAAUUCCACGUGUAGCAGUGAAAUGCGUAGAGAUGUGGAGGAACACCGAUGGCGAAGGCAGCCCCCUGGGUCAAGACUGACGCUCAUGCACGAAAGCGUGGGGAGCAAACAGGAUUAGAUACCCUGGUAGUCCACGCCCUAAACGAUGUCUACUAGUUGUCGGGUUUUAAUUAACUUGGUAACGCAGCUAACGCGUGAAGUAGACCGCUGGGAUACGUCGCA
rnacentral:rRNA from 1 species